CGAGCGGGCCGGACAGCCGCGGGCACGAGCCGAAAGGCUGUGCGUGAGGAAAGUCCGGGCUCCACAGGGCAAGGAUAACGGGUAACACCCGCCAGGGGCGACCCUCGGACAAGUGCAACAGAAACAAACCGCCCGAGCGAUCGGGUAAGGGUGGAAAAGUGAGGUAAGAGCUCACUCGCCGGCUGGAGACAGUGCGGCGCUGUAAACUCUAUCCGGAGCAACACCGCGGAGGGACAUAUGGCCGGCCCGGCCGUCCCAUGGAGGUGGCUGGAACGCACCGGCAACGGUGCGUCUAGAUAGAUGGCUGUCGAUAACAGAACCCGGCUUACAGGCCCGCUCGCUAC
rfam:Firmicutes bacterium CAG:103 genomic scaffold, scf257